rfam:Microdochium bolleyi strain J235TASD1 unplaced genomic scaffold Micbo1qcscaffold_10, whole genome shotgun sequence.
GGUCCGUUGGUGUAGUUGGUUAUCACGUCAGUCUAACACACUGAAGGUCUGCGGUUCAAGUCCGUGACGGAUCA